ensembl:lncRNA
AUGAUUAUUAUCAUUAAGCUAACCUCCGACCCAGUCUUUCCAGGUAAGGGCCCUCGCAUGGCGAGUGAGCAGAUCCAUGGAGGUGAUGAGGAGGCAGGAGCAGAUGGAGCAAUGCUGUGGUCCAUCCGGGAGGCCGUGGAGAGGCAGACCGUGCAGAUAGGAGCCUCGGCCUGCGGGGCCACAGCGGUGGUGGACGUGCUGAAGGCCCUCGGCGUGGAGGUGCCCCCCGAGGAAGCGGACCGCUGCGUCCGGACCCGCCUGAGGAGGAACGAGUCCCCGCUACCCGACUACCUGCUGUCCCGGAGUGAAGCAGGUGCAACUCAUUCUCAGCUCAUCCAGGGAGCACAGGAGGCCAGCAAGGGGAAGGUAGUGGGACGCUUCUUCCACUUCCACCCUCGGCGGCUGGUCGGGCUGAUCCUCUGGCUCGCACGCUGGAUCCGAAAAGGCGCUGUUCCCGUGGCGACCAUGAACAUGCAGCUGGCCGUGCCCGAGGGAGAGGAAGUGCCGGACGCCUGGCACCACCAGCUCAUAUUUGGCGUUGCACCCAAUACUGUUUUCAUGACCAACCCUUUAGAUGUCGGCAGUGAGGAGGAGGUCCACCAGAGGCUCUGCAGUGAAUCUGUGUUGCUGAUUCGUCGAGAAGAUGUCCUGCAGAGACUGACGCCGGAUUGCUGUCUGUCCGGUUUGUCUGAGAGUCGGUCCGACCCUCGGUGGAAAGCCCUGGAUGUCGAGGGUCAAGUGAGGCAGGUGGCCCUCGAAGAGGAGCAGGAGCCAGAUCGACCCGGGUCGGUGCACGUGACCAUCCCGGCGGCGUACAGCUCGGGCAUCACGCUGUUCGCCCUGCGAGAGUCCCUCUUAGGUCAAGAACUCCUCGAUGCCCCCGAACUCCCUCUCCUGUAACACUACUGCCACUCGUGCUCCUCAAGGCUUAUUUAUUGUGACAUGAAAAUGAAAAACACCUGAUUGAUCCCGGUGGUUUAGGAUCAGCAGACAUCCUCCUGAAGGGACACGACUGGAGGAGGGGUUCAAAGGGAGAGAGAGCGAGGGACAACCAAAGCCAUGAUAUAUGAUCCGUACCGAUGAUGCAGCUGUAGCACAGCCGGUCGCAGGCUGCAGACAAUGAAUCGCGUAGCAGAAUGUGUUGCAGAUGUGUGCUCGUGCUGUAAAGGGACUAUAAAACCGUGCACCACAAACACCAAUUGUUGACACUUAUUGUUGAUACAUCUGUUUUCUAACCUAAACUGCACAUGCCCCCUCCUGCACCUUUAGCAGUGAGUGGCCACACAUUCAGCUGAAACAGCUGCAAAUAUUUGUCAUUUUGUUCUCAACAGUUUGGUGUGAGUGCAUUAAGUUUCACGUAACAAGAGGAGCAUUCAUGCAUUCAUUUCACUGCUGUAAUUUACGAUGAUCAAGAGCUUCAGCAGACUUGACUGAGCUGAUUGCUGAUGAGCUCAUUUCAAUAAAUGUCAUAUUUAUGGGAUUAAAUAUCAACUGGCAUAUUCUGAUCCUCUUGUUAGCAGUGCCAUGAAAAAAACCCUGCAUCCUGCAAUGACGGAGUACAUGAAGGGGUGAGUAUUAAGCGCAGUAUUUUUCACAAGAAUAUGGUGAUGUUAAAGUAAAAAAGUAUCCAAAAUCCUACUUGGGUACCUCCAAAUGAAAUCCAUCCAUCCAUCCAUUGUCAAACCGCUUAUCCUGCACACAGGGUCGCGGGGGGGCUGGAGUCCAUCCCAGCCAACUUCGGGCGAUAGACAGGGUACAUCCUGGAUUGGUCGCCAGCCAAUCGCAGGACUAACACAGAGACACACAACCACCUCCAAAUGAAAGUGGUGUAGAAUUCCUAAUGCAUGCAAAUAAGUACUUUACAAGGACUGCUUUUGGCAGUACAGGUGACAAAUGAACUAAGGCCAUUCUCAAUAUGCGUUCUUGUGUUCUCGUGGACUUGUGAAACGUCAUCAGUCGCAGCCCGAGUACUGGGUCCGUGUACCUUUUGAUCGCCCCUUUUACCGUAAAAACCAUCAAAUGAAAACACUGUUUUCCCGUUUUUUGCUUUAUCCAUGCGGUUACCAGGGUAACAUUAGAAGAAAAGUGCAUUAAUCAAUAGAAAAGGUGAGGCCUUUAACCCCAAGAACACCAUGCCUACUGUCAAGUACGGUGGUGGUAGUAUUAUGCUGUGGGCCUGUUUUGCUGCCAAUGGAACUGGUUCUUUACAGAGAGUAGAUGGUAUAAUGAAGGAGGAUUACCUUUGAAUUCUUCAAGAUAACCUAAAAUCAUCAGCCUAAAGGUUGGGUCUUGGGCGCAGUUGCGUGUUCCAACAGGACAAUGACCCCAAACACACAUUAAAAGUGGUAAUAGCGACAUGUGACCAAAUAUUAGCACUGCUCUAUGUAUAUUUUUGACGCAGCAGAUUUGAUCACUUUUUCUGUUAACCCAUAAUAAAGUCAUAAAAGAACCAAACUUCAUAAAUGUUUUUUGUGACAAAGAAGUAUCUGUUCACUCUAUCAGACUUGUCGCCCCCCCCGCCGUUGUUUAGUGAUAAAUUAACCACAUUAGGCCACUGAAAACGUUACGUCGCAAGUGGUCUGACGUUUCCUAAAAAAUAAACACGAAAAUCAGGGAUUUUAAAGACUUGUCCAACUGUUUACUGAUGUUUGUCUGCCUGUAUUGCUCCCUCUCUCUCUCUCUCUCUCUCUCUCCAGACAGAUAAUUUAAAAGUAGUUCUACUGUUCUACAAAUUAGACAAGUUCACCAGUUUUGUUUAAUUUAAUUCUAUUAUUGGGAUGAAAGGUAGGUCUUAAGUUGAGCUACAUGACAGUCUGGUGAGGUUUAUUGUGGUAUAUUAGCUGCUUAUGCUUCAUCAUAGAAAAUAGUAAAAUAGUAAAAUGUGUGAGUGUUGUCAGCUUCAUAGAGAUUCUGUAAGUCACUCUUAAUUAUUAUGCACAUUAUUAGUAUUUUUAAUCCCAUGAAUAAUUUUGGCGAUGGGUGCCAUCCGGCGCAUGUAGGGGUUAGUGGGAAUGAGAGGGCAGACAGGCUGGCAAAGAGGGCACUGAACAAAGCAAACAUAGGAUGGACAUUACUAUCAGUAAAGCAGAGGUGAAGUGCAUUGUUUGCCCAAAAAAUCUACAAAUUGUGGCAAAAACGGUGGGACAGAGGGGAGAAAGGGAGACAUUUAUACCAUUCACAAAAGAUUGUCAAAGUCACAAGGGUGGGCAGAAGGAACAGGGGAGAAGAGACAGUGAUGACUAGGUUAAGGUCAGGGCAUUGUGCUCUAAACAAAACACUGAAGAUUAUAGGAACAUGUUGGAAAAACUGCAAUAAUGUCAUGUGAAGAAGGGGUUUUAGACAGGACUAUGUUUGGACAAUAAAUUGGGUGUAUGACAUCUCAGAUGUCAUCUUCAUUCAGUAUUCAUUUUUCUAACAGAAAACAUCAGAGAGGGUUGUGUGAAGGAUGUGGAGAGGAGGAGUCGGUUGAGCACAUCGUGUUGAGGUGCUGCAAGUAUGAGGUGCAAAGAGAGAGGAUGAGGAAUCAGCUUAUUUUUAUUCAUUUACUUAUUUAUGUAUUUUUCUUAUUUCAUAUUUUGGGGGAGAGAGGGGUACUUUGGGAGAAAGAGCCACACUACGGGCAGAACCGCAGGUGGCGGUGAUGCGCUGCCAAUACACCAAAGAAGAAGAAAAAGUCGACGACGACGAAGAAAACGACAUGCCGCCGAAAUUUGUCAAGCAAGAGCAGCAAAUAAAAGGUAAGACGGCACCAAGGAAACGGGACGCAAUCCGCUGUUUCUGCGCUAUUUAGCGCUUCGGAGUGACGCUGCGUUACCGCGCGCAGCUCAUCAGUCCAUCAGCGCAAAACACACACGUGUGUUUGCGCGCGCCCGCGCGCGCGUAUGCAACGCGUGUUGACAUCCACAGUCCUUAGGUCACAGGUGUCAAACUCAAGGCCCGCCGGGGGGUCCAGCUCGGCCCGCCGGAUGACUCUGCUAUUGUGAGAAUUACAGAAAGACAUCAAUGACGCUUAUAUAAAACAUAGCUGCUAUUCUAGAAGCGUCUACUGGGCGCGUCGCAUGUGACGCAUUCACCCACGCGCUGCCGGUAGAUGCGCGAUGGCUGCUGUCAGGCGAGAGGCUGGUUGUGUGUUUUUGUAUUUUUAUAUCGAUUCGUUUAGCGCUGUCGUUCCGCUCGGUUACGGCCACCGCGACGCUUUAGAAAUGAACACGAGGGGAUUCUGUAUUUGCUCAUUUGGCCAAUGUUUGGAAACCGACCGAAGCCAGCGGACAGAGGACACCUGGGCCCUGUUCCUCGUACGUGGUUCAACUAAGUCGACCAAAUGUCUACUGUAAUUCCAAUACUUUUAGCGGUAACGAGCAUGUAACGAAGUAUUUUUUAAAUACAUUAACGCAGUUACAAUUACUGAAAUUGAAAUUAGUUCGUUACUCUCUUUUGUGACGCGAAGCGGAGGGCCGGCAAAUAGUAAGUAAAUAGCUGCCCCGCGGAUGCUGGAUGUUGUGACUUUAUGCUACAUGUAUAAUCACUGUUAUAGUCGUAUACUACACGUGGGCUAUCUCAAUCGAUACAAAUGCACGGAGACGAGGAUGCAGUACAAAUUAGGCCAUUUACUGGCGCUCAAAUCACACAACCGGCAGGCAUGAACAAACAAUCACAGAACUCCGUCGUAGUGACAGUCAAACACAAUCGAGCACUGAGUGCUCGAUCCAAUAUACCACACUGCAGGCGCCGCUCCACGCAAACAACCACGGCAAUAGAUUGAUUGCUCGCUAUGUUGAAGAUGAGAUGCAUCCUGUCAACCGUCGAGUCAGUUGCCUUCAGGCAAAUGCCUGAAACAGUUAUUUUGUAUUAAGUUAAGUAUUAAAAAAGACUUUUGUACUAUUGCUUGAUUUGAAGGCCUGUUGCCCUGUUGAUUACAAUAAAUAGGUCUAAAAAAUAUGUUUAUUGUGUUUGACUGUUCAGUACUAUUUAUAUUCAUUACAUUUAAAAAGCAGACAUAAAAGUAACUUAAAUGUUACUUUCCAGAGUAACUAAUUACUUUUGAUGCACAGUAACUGGUAAGUAAUUCAAUUACCUUUAAAAGUAGUAACUGUAACUAAAUACUCAUUUUCAGUAACUUGCCCAUAAUCCAGGUCAAAUGACCGAGAUGAUUGACAUCUGGCUAUCUCUGUCCCUCGACGGCGGAUCGGCGCUCGAAUCGUCUCGUUAGUUUGAACCAGAUGUCGAUCAUCAGGAUUACCGCACGUGCGCGUCCUAUGUCAGAAGGCGGAAGAGUCAUGAACACAUAUGAUGAGAUGUUAAUUUGAAUCAUUUCUGUCUGAUGAAUUUAACAUAUUAUACAUAUUUUACAUUGUUCAUUCUGUACGUCCAUCGCGGUCUGUCCGUCCCAGGGAAGAAUAAAGGUUUCUUCCCUUUAUUCUUCCCAUCAACCACAAGUUCUUAAUGGGAUUAAGGUCUGGGGAGUUUCCUGGCCAUGGACCCAAAAUUUCAAUGUUUUGUUCCCCGAGCCACUUAGUAAUCACUUUUGCCUUAUGGCAAGGUGCUCCAUCAUGCUGGAAAAGGCGACGUCUUUAACCCCAAGAACAUCAUGCCUACUGUCAAGUACGGUGGUGGUAGUAUUAUGCUGUGGGGCUGUUUUGCUGCCAAUGGAACUGGUUCUUUACUGUCGUAUCGUCCACCCCCGACAAAAAAAAAUCACUCCAAGGUUUCUUGAAAAGUUGAGAGCGCCGGUAGAGUCUGCAGACUGGCCGCACUGGGCUGAAGGCGAAUACUUCAUUGUAUCUCGUCCUGACCGUGGCUUUGCUUUUCUGUGUCGAUGAGCCGCGGCUGAUUCGGCGCUGCCUGGUGACCGUGCCUUUUUCUUACUUGUUUCAUUUAAUUGACUUGUUGUUC